UACGGAGGGUCCGAGCGUUAUCCGGAUUUAUUGGGUUUAAAGGGUGCGUAGGUGGAUUGGUAAGUCAGUGGUGAAAGUUUGCAGCUUAACUGUAAAAUUGCCGUUGAAACUGCCGGUCUUGAGUGCAAAUGAGGUAGGCGGAAUGCGUCGUGUAGCGGUGAAAUGCUUAGAUAUGACGCAGAACUCCGAUUGCGAAGGCAGCUUACUGGGAUGCAACUGACGCUGAGGCACGAAAGCGUGGGUAUCAAACAGGAUUAGAUACCCU
rnacentral:rRNA from 1 species